AUAAUACUCCCUCCGUCCGAAAAUACUUGUCAUGGAAAUGGAUGUAUCUAGAUGUAUUUUAGUUCUAGAUACAUCAAUUUUCAUCGAUUUUGAUGACAAGUAGUUCCGGACGGAGGGAGUAUAUC
rnacentral:pre_miRNA from 1 species